UUUCUUUCUUUUUCCACAGAAAAACCUGAUAAAAAAUCAAUAACAGAAAUGAAUUUGGGCUGGCUGAACUAGAGAUUGAAAUAAAAGCCUGCAUGGAGCUAUAGAUUUUGAGGCAAGACAACAGAGGAAUUCACCUGUUUUCUUCUUAUGAGUAGAUGGUUUCAUUUUUUAUCCACUGUGGUAAGACAGCCUCCAAGAUGACCCCAGUGAUUCCCACUUCCAGGUAUUUUCAUAUAGUCGCCUCCCUCCUACAUUGAGUAGAGCUGACCAGGGUAACAGCGGGAUACCGUGGAAAUGAUGGAGUGUGACUUCUGAGGUGAAGUCAUCAAAGGCGCCAUGCCUUUUUCCUUCCUCUCUUGGACCACUCUCUCGGGGGGGAAGUUAACUGCCAAGUCUUGAAGACAUUCAAGAGCCCUAUGGAGAGGCCCCUGUGGUGAGGAGCUGAGGCUGCUGGCUGACGGCCAUGUGAGUGAGACAUUGUGGAAAUGGAUCCCCCGGUUCCCAGUCAAGCCUAGGCUGACACGCUGACCAGUCUCACAGGAGAUACUGGGUCAGAACCAUGCAGCUGAGAUGCUCUCAAAUUCCUGCUCCACAGAAACUGUGAGAUAAUAAAUGUUUAUCGUUUUAAGCCACCAAGUUUUACAGGAAUUUGUUAACACCAGUAGAUAAGUAAUAUCUCCAUAAAUUAAUUUUUCCUGUGAGCAGAGCACAUUAGAUUUGAGUAUGACAUGUGUAUCUCUUUGGCUGCUCAGGGUCUGUUGUUUGCCUCUGUUCUGGUUCUUAGCUACAGCUCAGAUACCUGAAGUGUGAUCUCUGGAUACAUUCAGGAGCUGGUUUUAUAUGACCAUAGAGCCUCCUGAGGAAGACCGACAUGGCAGGAUGCAGUUCUGCAGACUGUCCUGCAUUGGCUAGGAUCCACCGAAAGUGCAUCAUUUUGCUAUGCACUCCAGGACUCGGUCAUCUUACUCAGGAAUAACCAGCUUUUGGGAAAACCAGCUGAUAUAGAAAUAAACAUUUAUCCCUACAAAA